GUGAACGCUGGCGGUAGGCCUAACACAUGCAAGUCGAACGGCAGCACAGUAAGAGCUUGCUCUUACGGGUGGCGAGUGGCGGACGGGUGAGGAAUACAUCGGAAUCUACUUUUUCGUGGGGGAUAACGUAGGGAAACUUACGCUAAUACCGCAUACGACCUACGGGUGAAAGCAGGGGAUCUUCGGACCUUGCGCGAUUGAAUGAGCCGAUGUCGGAUUAGCUAGUUGGCGGGGUAAAGGCCCACCAAGGCGACGAUCCGUAGCUGGUCUGAGAGGAUGAUCAGCCACACUGGAACUGAGACACGGUCCAGACUCCUACGGGAGGCAGCAGUGGGGAAUAUUGGACAAUGGGCGCAAGCCUGAUCCAGCCAUACCGCGUGGGUGAAGAAGGCCUUCGGGUUGUAAAGCCCUUUUGUUGGGAAAGAAAAGCAGCAGGUUAAUACCCCGCUGUUCUGACGGUACCCAAAGAAUAAGCACCGGCUAACUUCGCG
rnacentral:rRNA from 1 species